UAACAUAAAGUUUCAGAGCGCAGCUGCAUCCUAUGUGGGGAGAUCUGCGCGCUUGGCGUAGAAACCGUGCUUCUCUGUGCGUGCUUUUUUGGGGGGGUAUUUGCUAGAAGGGGAAAGGAGGGAGGAGGGCAAAAAAAAAAAGGGGGGGGGGAUUGUUUAAGUAAAACGCAGCUUAUGGUCCAACUUUGAGCCGUUGCUGGCCUCUCUCCAAGAUAUAGUUUGCGUCUCCAAAGCGCAAACCUCCCCCAUUUAGGCUACACUGAGUCCAGAGCUUCUGUUUUCCGAGCAAGAGUUGAGUCUCCAUCCAUCCCGAUUGUCGUUUUACCCGACUGAAAACACGGCGCGGUUGACAUGUUGCACCGUGAAUCAAAGCUAAACAAGGAUAUCAGUGACCAAACAGUGUGUAAAACCUCUGGAGUCAAGGCCUGACUUCAUCGCUGAUCUUUAGUGAGCUGGCUGGUCCCUGUUCCAAUCCAGUGCCUGGAAUAAUCUACUCCAGCGCUUCUCCCACCCAGCUCCACCUUUUAUUGCCCCGGGAAGAGAAGGGAACGAAGGAGCAAUAGCAUCUUUUCUAGAGUUAACUUCCAAAAAGCAGGCCAGUGAAUCACAGAGCAAAUCCCUUGACAGGAGACGCUUCAUUUCUGUGGUUAUGGUACAUAAGACGAUGCUGACAUCUAGUGGCAAAUCCAUAUCACCACGUGUAGAAGGAAAUAAAAUAAAUCUGUAAAAAAAUAAA